CUUACGCCCGUCACUGACACAACAGCUCUGCGCACUAGAUCCGCGAGCAAAGAACCACGUGCGCCUCACGAGUGCGACUGCACACGAGAUUCGUGCGCAGACAGGGCGCGAUACGAGCACUCGGCUGAUGGGUCGUGUGCAUGCGUGCAUGCACAUUCGACGUGGCGUUCAUGCACACAAGCGAACUGCGUGCAAGCACUUUUGUGCGGGCAGGCAGG
rnacentral:lncRNA from 1 species